CUCAUCAUCACCUUGUUUAUUUAUUUAGCAAAUGGAAGGCCAAGUACAGCAGCGUUUGCAUGCUGGCCAGUGUCCAUAUUCAGCCUGGCUGGGAAAAACGGACAUAUGCAUGGCUUAGAAAUAAUAACGCUUCACAGUACUUCUGAAAGUAAUCGCAUAGAAAGUGUCUAGAUUGCACUAUAAUGGCUGGAGAAAGAUCUGUACUGUUACCUAAGCUGGUCUUACAGGACAUAAGAAUACUUAUUAGCACUUUAAUGACUAACAUCUCAGCCUGAUUGUGUUUGAAGCACCUGUCUGAUUGCAUUUGGCUGAGGGCUGAUUACAGCCCACUACGAAAGGUUUGCAAUAAGUUCCCUGUUAUGUUGUGCGAAAAAGAGUGAUGCUGAAAUAUUUAUCCGACGGCAUCGGGGAUCAACACCAGCGGAAAUAUUCAACAAACGCAAGCGGAUCAGAGGGGUUGCAUUUUUUUUGUCCAUGUAAAUGCAAGGCCGUUUGGUGGUGUUUCAAAAUGUGUCAGCAGAGAAGGAUCUUCCUCAUUGCACGGAGGUCAAGCAAGUUUGCAUUGCUCAUUAUUUUCUCCUGACAGAAGUGCCUCUCGCUGUAAGCCGAGGGAAGAUUUCGGAGGAGGAAUCCAUCAGGCACAGCCAGGCUUCUCUGAGUGUGUGCCUGAGGCCUGACUGGAUAGCCUGGACCGCAUGUGAUAGACAGCUUACUGACAGACAGACGGCCAGACCACAUGCACUGGAUGACGAUUGCUGUGCGUGAGAGAGAGAACUGAGACUGAAUUCUGCAGAUGAUGAAUCGAAAUAAAGGAGAGGCAAAGAAAUGGAAGAAAUCAGACAAAGAAGUCUAUAUUCUAUUGCUGUGUUGCAUUCUGAAUAGCACUCCUACAUCUCCAUCUGCCCUUGUGCACUUCAUUUAGUAGACAGCAGAACUAGUCUCAAGCUCAGACAGAAAGAAAGAGAUAGCAGAUAAAAAAACAAAAGAGGGAAAAUGCCUGCGGAACAGCAGAAGGCUUACGAUGAGGCAAAAAGUAGGACCCUUGUAAAUUUCGGAUCAGCUUUCUGGAGAGAACUCAAGGAGUGGGAAGGCCUGCGAUCAGAUGCCGAGGUUGCUUUGUUUCUUCUCGAUAGUGGAUUGGCAGAGGGAUUGCUGGGGCAGAAGUGCCUGAGGUCUCAGCUGGAAGGGCUGCUGGGCAGCAGGACACGGCUCCCGAGAGGAAUACAGGACAAGAGACACGGGCCGGGACGAUCCAGCUCAUCUCCUUUACUCUUCAGAGUUCAGCAGAGAGGAAGCCUGUACAAACAUCUCCAAUCACAAGCAUGAGAUUGCACACAAACAGACACAAAGAACAAAUUUGCUUUUGCCGAUGCACAUGAGAUGCUUUAGAAGUGAUACUCCGGGGAUGUGUUUUUUGGAAAAAGUAGAUCUUGGACAGCACUUCCCAGUAUUCACCAAAAAAGCAAUGGAAAUAGCUUUUCAAGUUAGGCAGGUGUCACAUAGUUUCUUGCAUUCUUAUUGCCUUUUAUCAAUGUAAUUCAUCAUAUUUUAGCUGAGUGGAAAGUUCAUUGCUGAUGAUAAAUUCAUUAAAAUACAGUUAGCACUGGCCACGAAUGGACCUUUUUACUAUUGGGUCAUUCUGUGUCAACUCAACCAGAGGUCCCCGGCUCAAAUUUUGGAUUUUGCUAAAAAAUAUAUAUAUAUAUAUAUAUUUAGUGAUAAAAGCCAAAAUAUUAAGAAGGAAACGAGAUACAUCUCUAGUUUCAGCAUUAUUUGUUCUUUAGACAUUCUUCUUUAAAAGAAAAAUGUCAUAUUUUUGCAAAAGUGACCCACAGUUGGUAUCUGACACAUUGAAAAUGUGUACAAUUUACCUACAGUAUAUACCGCUGGAGUCAUACUGAG
ensembl:lncRNA